rnacentral:misc_RNA from 1 species
UCAUCUAUAAAGCAGAUUUGGUCUAUACUUACCAAGUACGACAAAAUUUAAGAUAUUCCUCCAUGCCAUCAUCCUCAUGAAAUGCUUUAUUUUCACGCAGUAACCUUAGGGAGGGUAUAUUGUUAUCAAUUCAUCUAGUUUUUAUCCUUCUUGAUUAUCUACUUAAUGUUAUCUUUCUCAAAAUCAUACAAAUUUUUAGUUCCUGCUGGCUUUCAUUCUUCCUUUGGUUGUUCAUUUGAUAUUUUAUUGAGCUGAUAUUCUUUUAGAUCCUGAGUGCAUUGGACUGGUAGUUCUGGUGUUUGAAUCUAUUUUUUGUUUGCAAUCAUUCUAUUUGUCUUUAUGUUGCUGUUUAUGUAUGGAGAUCUCUCUAUCUAGUAUCUAGACAAGCAUGCUUGUUUUGCAACAACCAAUCGUAUACAAACUUGUGAAAUAACAUUGGAAAGGGUUUUGGGAGUUGUUAUCUGUAAAUUUAUGAAGGCUUUUUUAAUCCGAUCUCAUUAUUUUUAGAAAAUUAUAUGGGUCUCUCAUGUCAUCUAUAAGGCAGAUUUGGUC